rnacentral:rRNA from 1 species
AUGGCUAUAUCUGACUCGAACCAGUUCAUUGGCCAUAUACCACCAAGCCUCGGAAACUUUCCAAUGCUUCAAUGUUUGGACAUUUACAAAAAUAAUCUUAAUGGUACAAUUCCAAUGGAGAUCUUCAAAAUUCCAACAAUGUUCAUACUUAAAUUAUCUUCCAACAACCUUGAUGGACAACUUCCUACCAACAUUGGAAAUGCUAAACAACUCGUACAUUUGUUACUUUCAUCAAACAAGCUAUCCGGAUAUAUUCCAAACACUUUGGGUGAUUGUGAAAGUUUAGAAGACAUCGAGCUAGACUCGAAUAUUUUCAGCGGAAGUAUUCCUGCUUCAUUAGGCAACAUAAGCGGCCUCUCAAAGUUUUGA